rnacentral:tRNA from 1 species
GGGCGCUUAGCUCAGCGGGAGAGCAUCACCUUCACACGGUGGGGGUCGCAGGUUCGAACCCUGUAGCGCCCACCA